rnacentral:lncRNA from 1 species
GCCAACAUCAAUGUCAGGCACGUCGCGCGACAUUACUGCGGCAACGUCAUCCGCCGGCUUGUCUUCGGCCAACGGUACUUCGGAGAGCCUCAGCCGAACGGCGGGCCGGGGCCGAUGGAGGUGGAGCACAUGGACGCUUCCUUCGCCCUCCUAGGGUUCACCUUCGCGUUCUGCGUCAGCGACUACCUCCCGUGUCUACUUUGCCUAGAUCUCGACGGCCACGAGAAAAUUAUUAAGGAGGCCAACACAAAAGUGGAUAGACUGCACGACGUGGUCAUCGAAGAGCGUUGGAGGUAGUGGAACAGCAGCGAGAGGCAGGACGGGGUCGAGGACUUCCUUGACGUUCUCAUCACGCUCGCCGACGGUGACGGCAAGCCGUUGCUCAACAUCGAUGAGGUCAAAGCACAAUCUAAGGUAAGCAAAUUAUUAAUUAAUGAGAAAUUUUAAGAUGGAUCAAGGGUCUAGAUUGAAUUUAGUGACCAAUUGCCUCAUAGUCCUACAAGGUACUAAUACGUCAUCCAUGACAAAAGGUAAUAGCUCACACUAUUAAAUACUAGAUCUUAUACCGUAUUUCGCAGGUGUUAGAAAAUGGAAACAAUAGAAUAAGAAAUUAUGAAUUAAUAGUUUAGACAUAGCAUUAUUGUAAUUUUCUACCAUUUUGAUGUGAUUUCAACUUGAAUUGUAUUUAAAUUUCCAAUUAUUCAAUGUAAUCUCUCUUUAUGCAAAGGUAUAGAUUGUAAUAACUUACAUUUAUCUCCAUGGAAUGCAUGCAGGGCAUAAUAUUAGCGGCCAUAGAUAACCCGUCAAACGCAGUGGAGUGGGCGCUGGCGGAGAUGGUGAACAACCCAGAAUUGCUGGCCAAGGCAGUGGAGGAGAUGGACCGGGUGGUCGGUCGCGAGCGACUGGUGCAAGAGUCGGACAUCAUGCAGCUCAACUAUCUCAAGGCGUGCAUACGUGAGGCAUUUCGCCUCCACCCAAUCGCUCCCUUCAACCUGCCGCACGUCGCGAUUGCAGACACCAUUGUUGCGGGCUACCGCGUGCCCAAGGGUAGCAACGUCAUCCUCAGCCGGCUGGCCCUGGGCCGGAACCCCACCGUCUGGGAUGAACCGCUCCGCUUCAAGCCAGAGCGCCAUAUGGGAGACAACAUCAAUGUGGUGCUUACUGAGAGCGAAUUGCGGUUCAUCUCCUUUAGCACCGGACAGCGGGGAUGCAUCGCGGCAUCACUAGGAACAACCAUGAGUGUCAUGCUCUUUGGCAGGCUCCUGCAUGGCUUCACCUGGACCAAACCGGCUGGGGUGUCGGCCAUCAAUCUCAGCGAGUCCAAGCACGACCUUUUCAUAGAGAAGCCGCUAGUGCUACAUGCUAAGCCACGUCUUCCAGUGCACCUCUACUCUCUCAUGCAUUGUUGAGCAAAUAACGAGCUAUGAAUCACCGAUAUGGCGAGUACGCUAGCUAUUUUUUUGAUGAAUCUAUACUUACUAAUAAAGGAAGGAAAUAUUCUUUUUUUCGUCUCGCUUUGUUUCGUUCCACUUCGAUUGAUUUUCACGUAUGCUAGCUAUUUUGGUUUUGUCUGUUGCACGUACGAGCGAGCCGGUUUCUUUCAUGCGCCGCUGGAUCGUCCUAGGCUUGUCCAAAGCAUUGGAACAGUACGUGAUAGGCAAACAACCACCCAUCUAGUAUUAAUUUUGGACAAAUAGAGAUUAAAUGUAUACAAGAUGAUGCUCUUUAUAUCACCAACGAAGGAUGAAAGUAGGUCGGCGCAUAUAGGGCAACUCCAUUUGAGUUGUUUCUUCCGGCCCAAGUCCCAGGCGGGGCAGCAUAGCAGCCUAUAAUAGUCUUUCUAUUUUGGUUCAUCAAUUAAAUAGUACCACAUAGUUUUCUUACUUUUAAUCCCACAUAGUUUUCUUACUUUUAAUCCUACAAGUUUAUAUACGCUAGCAUUAAAAAACUCAGAGAGUGAGGUAUGCAAUGAGGAUGCACAUUUCGAGGGUGAUCAGAUCUGAGAUUAUAGGCCAAUGAAAGCAAUACAGACACGAUUAAAGAUCUGUGAUUAUGGGCCAAUGGAACUAGUGAAAACCCAACUAAAUAUCUGAGAUUGUAGGCCAAUGAAAGAAAUGAAGACCCGAUUAAAGAUUCAAGACUAUUAUGGGCCAAUGGAAGAAAUAAAGACGUGAUUAAACUUGCAAACUCAUGCCGAUGUGCAUGGUGCAUAAUUGAAGGACUCGUGGGCUAAAUCAUUAUAAUUUACACGAAAGGCGAGAAGCAGAUGGGUGGGGUAGACCGAGAAGGCAUUUAAGGACGAGGAGGAACUCGCAAUUUUCACACUUGACGCAUACGACCAGCUCGUUGCCACACUCACGAAACAUGAAAUCAUGGGUGAUGACACGCCGAGGUGUCCACCAAAGCCCGUGCCACCAGGGAGAUACCUCUCUCUCUACGGAUUUUUUAUUUCUUGCAAUUAAUUUUGAUGAUAAAGACUAAUGUUUGUCCCGCGUUGCAACACACGGGCAUAUGUGCUAGUAAAUCAAAAGGAAAAAAAAACUGAAAUAAAAAUUAAAAAUAAAAACCUCAAGGAAAAAAACCCAACAAAAAGCCCAAGAAAUACCGGAAUGGAAUCAAACCUUGGAAGAAAAAACCACAAAAUCAGCACAACAAAUGCCGAACCAAAUACAACGAAAGCAACAGAAUAAAAAGGGAGCAACUAGUUGACGAGGGCUCCUUCGGGAGCCUCGCAACGAUCAGCGCCACUUGGCGCGCUCUCAGCCGCCCUGCCACAUGUCGCGCUCUAGACGCUCCUUUCGUAUUUUAAUAUUUUUCGCACGCGUUUUCGGCUUUUUAAAUGGUUUAUUUGGGGGUUUUUUCGACGUUUUGGUUUUCCGCAGCUUUUAGGCCAAAAAACUCAAAAAACAAUUGCGUGAAAAAGCACAUUUUUUUCUUCCGCGAGAGGCACGGUUUUGCUUCCGUGAGAGGCACGGUUGUGCUUUCGCGAGAGGCACAGUUUUGCUUCCGCGAGAGGCACGGUUGUGCUUUCGCGAGAGGCACAGCCGUGCCUCUCGAAAACGAAAAAAAUGCAUUUUCUGGUUUUUUUUCCUUCCGCGAGAGAAACGAUUUUGCUUCCGCGAGAGACACGGUUGUGAUUUUGCGAGAGGCACGGCCGUGCCUCUUUCAAAAAGGAAAAAACGCAUUUUUUUUGUUUUUUUCCUUCCGUGAGAGGCAUUGUUUUGCUUCCCCGAGAGGCACGGUUUUGCUUCCCCGAGAGGCACGGUUGUGAUUCCGGUAGAGGCACGACCAUGCCUCUUUCGAAAAGGGAAAAAACCAUGCUCUUGGUUCGGUUUUUUCGUCCUGUUUAUUCAUGAAGAAAAAGUUCGUUAAAACCUAUCAACAUGGUAUCUAGUUUUUAAGAUCUCGACGCAAGGAAUCGAACGGUGAAAACGGUUCGAGAUUUGGAUGCACGGUUUAAGAGAUAAAAUGUUUUCAAUAAACGGAUCUACAAAAAAAGAGAAAACUCACAUGUUGUGACAAAUGAUGCGUGCCAUUUGUCACAACCUGAGAAGGCGGUUGACACGAUAAACUCAAUUGGCAUUAAUGAUAGAGAUAGGGUAAGUGUCAUGUCUUUAUGUUCCUUCCAUGUUCAUGCUUCUUUUUUGGUGUUUCAAGUGCUAACUUGUUCUUUUGUUUGUAGGUCACUAUUGCAUAAAACUUAUUUCAAGGAGAAGAGAAGAAGACCAAGAAAAGGAAGGUCAAGAAAGGGAGACCAUUUGUGUUGGCCCGUUGCUACAAUGUGUUGAAGGAUGAAGAGAAAUGGAAGGCCCAUGAUGACCAAGAGGAGAGCAAGAAAAGCAAGGCAACUAUUGAUUUGGAUGAUGAGGAGGAGGAGGAGGCAUCUAGUGAUGGCGGCAGGAGAAGCCCUACACCAAACUCGGUUGCCUAGUCCGAACCAAAGAGACCAAAUGGAGGCAAGAAAGAUGCAAAAGAAAAGAAGAAGAAGAAGAAGAAGAAGAAAAAGAAGAAGAAGAAGAAGAAGAAGAAGAAGAAGAAGAAGAAGAAGAAGAAGAAGAAGAAGAAGAAGAAGAAGAAGAAGAAGAAGAAGAAGAAGAAGGAAGCAAACGAGGUGAGGAUGAUGACAAGGAGCCAAGAUGCGGCGGCCGAGGAGAGGAGGGUGGAUGCCGAGGAGAGGAAGGUGGCAUUGGAGGAGAAGAAAUUGGCCAUGGAGGAGCAAUCUAGAUUAUUGAAAUGGGAGAAGCACUUGUUCUUUAUGGACAGAUCUAAACUCGAUGAUAGGCAAAAGGAGUACGUCAUUCUUUCCCCUGAAGAAGUCUUGGUCCAAAAAAGAGCCAUGGCCAUGGGUGGCAUGGGUGGCUUUGGAGCUACCAUGGGAGGAAUGGGAGCACCUACGGGAGGCAUGGGUGGCUUCAGACAUACCAUGGGCGGCUGGGAGGCAUGGGUGUCUUCGGAGCUACCAUGGGAGGCAUGGGUGGCUUUAGAGCUACCAUGGGAGGCAUGAGUUUUGGGUCUCUCAUGAGAGGCACGGGUGCACAUCCGGGUGACAUGGGUGGACGCAUGUCUUCCGGUGUGCCUCACAUACCUUCGCUUUUUCCCAUUGGAGAUCUUAUGAACACCAUCCGAGCUCCCGAUGACGAUGCGGCGCUUGAAAAUGAAGAGGAGGAAGAAUCAUCUUCGGAUGAGGAGGAAGAAUCGGAGGAAGAAGAGGACGAUGAUGAGUGAUGUGGCAUGAUUGUUGAUGUGCCAUUUGUUUGUGCAAACUUUUAUUUGUCAUGAACUUGGUUGGGUGAUUUUGAACUAUGACAUGCAAGUGAACUAUGCUAUGUCUUUGUUUUGCACAUUUGUUUAAUGAUUGAAACAUCAUCAUAUAUACUGUCAAAUGGGCAUGUUAAAAUCAUAUUUGCAAGCGCCGGCUGCUCACACGCUCGGUAAAUUAGCGCGCCUUCUGGAGCUGCUCGCGCGUGCCAUAUUUUACUGCGGCUGCUGGAGCCAGCGCCUUGCUUCACGCAAUAAACGCCAUUUUGACGUUGUAAAAAAGUUUGUGCGGGUCGUGCGGUUGCGCACCUGUUAAAGAUGCUCUUAGAAUCGUGUUUUUACGGCGCCUAUGUGAUGCCCUAUUCUGCAAGAACUUGGAGUUGCGGUCGCCCCUCCGGCCGAUGCAUCACUUCUUCCCUGUCGUAGAGCUCAUGCAGGUCUUUUUCAAGCCACACCGAACCGAAGUCAGUACGUACGUGCCCAGUUCUGCACGUGCUUGGACACAUCUUUUAACCUGCUAGAAGGAGGCCCAUGAGUCCACUCUUGCCUGCGUCGUGCAUGCAUGUCCCNNNNNNNNNNNNNNNNNNNNNNNNNNNNNNNNNNNNNNNNNNNNNNNNNNNNNNNNNNNNNNNNNNNNNNNNNNNNNNNNNNNNNNNNNNNNNNNNNNNNNNNNNNNNNNNNNNNNNNNNNNNNNNNNNNNNNNNNNNNNNNNNNNNNNNNNNNNNNNNNNNNNNNNNNNNNNNNNNNNNNNNNNNNNNNNNNNNNNNNNNNNNNNNNNNNNNNNNNNNNNNNNNNNNNNNNNNNNNGGGCUCCCCGUUUUGCGGUUUAUUUUGCCACCGGUUUUCGAAAGGUUCUAGAACCUUCCCAAAACCGGUUUUUUGGUUUUUUAUGUUUUCUAUAUUAGUUUUCCGUUUUUAUUUUCUUUUAAAUGUUUACUUUCUUUUCUUAUUUUUUCUCUCAUUUUUUCUUUCUUUUUCCUUUUUCCUUUUCUUCUUUUUUUCUUUUACUUUUUACUUUCUUCAGUUUUUGACUAUUUUUGGCAAUUUUUAUUUUUGAAUUCGUUAACACCUUUUUUUCAUCGAAUUCUAGAAAUUUUCAACCAUGUAAAAAAAUGGUCAACAAUCCAGAAAAUGUUCAUCUAAUUCAAUUUUUUGUUCAUCAGAUUUAGAAAAUGUUCAUAAAAAUUCAAAAUUUGUUCAUCGAACUAAAAAAAUGUUCAUCGGAUUCUUUUUUUGUUCAUUGUUUUCAAAAAAUGUUCAUCACAUUCAAAAAAAAUUCACUAAAUUACAAAUCUGUUCAUCAAAUUCAAAUCUUGUUCAUAAUUUUUUCAAAAAAUUUCUUGAAUACAAAUUUUGUUCAUCAAAUAAAAAAUAUGUUCAUAAAAUGCCAAAUUUGUUUAUCGAUGUUCAAAAUAUGUUCAUCAAAUUCAAAAACAUGUACAUUCCUUCGAAAUAACGAACAUUUUUUGAAUUCAAGAAAUGUUUUGGAAUUUGGUGAACAUUUUUUAAUUCUGUCAGCAUUUAUCAUUUCACGAACAUUUUUUUCAAAUCAUCAACAAUUUUUUGAAUUCAUGUACAUUUCACAAGUUGUAGCUAUAUUGAAAUCCCGAAUUAGUCUUACAAUGGAAAACAAUUUAAAAAAAGCAAAAAAAAGAUGCUUCGGCUUUCCCUACCCACACAUGGGCUAGCCCAUAAGGCGGCGCGGGGGAGCGGGGGUUACGCGCUCCAUCGUUCGUUGGCGCAUACAGCGCUAAAUGGGAGGUCUCGAUGUAGCAUCUCAUUGAAUCCCGGACAUGGUCCAACCAUCUCUUCAAACCGAAAGCUGCCCAUAUGGUUCAUCAUCCUGGCGUCUGAAAUACUUUUGGAAAGACAAUUAUGGUUAGUUUUCGGAUAAGUACUCUCGAUAAUCUACAAAUAGGAGAUGUUUUAUUGUAUUUUGAUAACUUUUGGAUAGACAAUCAUUACUAUUAAUAUCAUCCUUCAUAUCUAGAUAAAGUAAGACAAUCUAUAAAUAGAAGAUUUUUAUUCUGUUUUGAUUAAAUUUGGAUAGACAAUUAUUAUUAUUAGUAUUAGCCUUCGUAUCUAGAUAAAUAUAAGGCAAUCUAUAAAUAGAAGUUUUUUUUCUGUUUUGACUACGUUUGGAUAAACAAUUAUUAUUAUUAGUAUCAUCCUUCAUAUCUAAAUAAAUAGAAGACAAUCUACGAAUAGAAGAAUUUUCAUUCUGUAGAAAAUUAUUAUUAUUAGUUCAGGAUUAAUACAUUUGAAAUGCCAUGUGAUAAAUGUGGUAAACGAUCGAUCCACACAUGAGGAAUAUAUCUAGACAUGGUUUAGUGUUAGAUACGUAAAUACCUUCGUAUUUAAUAAAUCUAAGCCAAUUUUUUGGGACGGAGGUAACAUAUAAAGAAGGGUCUCGCACUCAUGGGCAGAGCAGCACGGAGAGCAAAGUUGGCUUCCCUACGCAACGAUAACAAGGGUAGCUACCUCGCAAACCUGUGUGCACUCUGCAAGCAGUAGUCUCCAUAAUGUUGGCUUGCUGCUGCUUUGUUGUGUCCCAGCUGCUCAUCGUAAUAACGCUCAUAUACCUUGUCAUUACCAAGAGCAAGGUCUGAUGUGGCACGUGCUCAUCAGCGAUGGUGCCGCUUCCACUUCCGCCGGGGCCAUGGCUGUGGCCAGUGGUGGGUAGCCUGCCCGAGAUGGUGGUCAACAAGCCAGCGUUCCGUUGGAUCCAUCGCGUGAUGAAGGAUAUGGGCACCGACAUCGCCUACUUCCGCCUUGGCGGCGUCCACGUGGUCCCGAUCACAUGUCCCAAGAUCACAAGGGAGGUGCUCAAGAAGCAGGACAAAAACUUCUCAUCCCGCCCACUCACCUUCGCCUCCAGCGCCAUCAGCAGCGGGUACAAGGACGUCGUGCUCUCGCCGUUCGGCGACCAGUGGAUGAAGAUGUGCAAGGUGCUCACCUCUGAGAUCAUCUGCCCCUCCCGUCACAAAUGGCUCCAUGACAAGCGCGCCGACGAAGCUAACAACUUGACGCGCUACAUCUACAACCUCACCGCCGGGGAGUUGUCAUCUUCAACGUCGGGACUAGCCAACGUCAAUUUCAGGCACGUCGCGCGGCAUUACUGCGGCAACGUCAUCCGCCGGCUUGUCUUUGGCCAACGGUACUUCGGAGAGCCUCAGCCGAACGGCGGGCCGGGGCCAAUGGAGGUGGAGCACAUGGACGCUUCCUUCGCCCUCCUAGGGUUCACCUUCGCGUUCUGCGUCAGCGACUACCUCCCGUGUCUACUUGGCCUAGAUCUCGACGGCCACGAGAAAAUUAUUAAGGAGGCCAACACAAAAGUGGAUAGACUGCACGACGUGGUCAUCGAAGAGCGUUGGAGGCAGUGGAACAGCAGCGAGAGGCAGGACGGGGUCCAGGACUUCCUUGACGUUCUCAUCACGCUCGCCGACGGUGACGGCAAGCCGUUG